rnacentral:lncRNA from 1 species
AUGUCUUCUUCUAAUGGGUAUUGAUUAACUUUAAAAUGCUCAAAAACCCUAAAAUUUGGGUUUUUUCGCCUAUUUGGGAAGUAGGGUGCAAAAUCGACACGGGUUGGCAGAUUAUCGUAUGUCUAGCCCGUGUGGAAAUGUCCAAGCCGUGAGGAUCUUGAAAACAACUCUUUUUGUCUAAUUUUGGCUCGUUUUCUCUCUUUCGCUCCCAAAUGUUCUCUUAAGUAUAGAAACAUGAAUUUAAAGGAUUAGGAGCAUCAAAUUCACCAAUUUGCAUAAUUAAUCAUCCACAAAUGCAUUAAGAAUAAGAUUAAAAUAUGUUACCUUUAUAGCUUAUCAAAUAUCCCCACACUUAAGUGUUUGCUUGUCCUUAAGCAAAA